rnacentral:rRNA from 1 species
AAAUUGAAGAGUUUGAUCAUGGCUCAGAUUGAACGCUGGCGGCAGGCCUAACACAUGCAAGUCGAACGGUAACAGGAAGCGCUUGCUGCUUCGCUGACGAGUGGCGGAC